rnacentral:rRNA from 1 species
AUGGCUGAUGCAGAACCAUGGAAGACAGUCAAGAUACCCCCGAUCGUGCAGGAGCUGGCGACCGGCAUGCAGGAGCCACCGAGCCGGUAUGUGAUCGCUGAGCAGAACCGGCCCACCGCGGCUGGUUUUGAGAUGCCCGAUCCCAUACCCAUCAUCGAUCUCAGCCGACUGUCUGCCAACUGUGCUGAUGAGGUUGCCAAGCUGCGGUCCGCCUUGGAGAAGUGGGGUCUGUUCCUGGCUGUUGGCCAUGGAAUGGAGCAAAGUUUUCUUGGUGAGGUGAUGGGAGUGGCUAGGGAAUUCUUCAAGCUCCCACUGGAAGAGAAGCAGAAGUAUUCGAACUUGGUGAACGGCAAUGAAGUCAGGAUCGAAGGUUACGGGAACGACAUGGUCGUGUCAGAGAAGCAAAUCCUGGACUGGUGUGACCGCCUCUACAUCAUAGUGGAACCUGAGAAUCGAAGAAUCUACAGCUUGUGGCCAACACAGCCUCCAUCGUUCAGAGAUAUUCUGAGUGAGUACACAGUCAGGUGCCGUAAGAUCGCCAAUCUUUUCCUCCAGAACCUGGCCAAGCUACUAGAUUUACACGAGGACUACUUCGUCAACAUGUUCGACGAGAAUGCCUUGACAUACGCCAGGUUAAACUACUACCCUAACUGUCCGAAGCCGGACCACGUCUUCGGCAUGAAGCCCCACACCGAUGCCUCGGUGAUCACAAUCGUCUUCAUCGAUGAUAAUGUCAGCGGGCUCCAGCUUCAGAAAGAUGGCGUCUGGUACAACGUACCCAUUGUUCCGAAUACAUUACUCGUGAACGUGGGAGAUGUAAUGGAGAUAAUGAGCAAUGGAUUCUUCAAGAGCCCGAUUCACAGGGUUGUGACCAAUGUGGAGAAAGAGCGGCUAUCUUUGGUGAUGUUCUACACGAUGAACCCGGAGAAGGAGAUUGAGCCACUGUCAGAGCUGGUGGAUGAGAAAAGACCGAGGCGGUACAGGAAGACAACAACUAAUGACUACAUAGCAAAACUCUUCGAAACUUUUGCUAGGGGGACACUAGCUAUCGACACAGUGAAGAUCUGA